AGAGUUUGAUCAUGGCUCAGAUUGAACGCUGGCGGCAUGCCUUACACAUGCAAGUCGAACGCGAAAGCGGAGCAAUCCGCAAGUAGAGUGGCGAACGGGUGAGUAAUACAUCGGAACAUUUCCAGUAGCGGGGGAUAACCUGUCGAAAGAUAGGCUAAUACCGCAUACGACCUACGGGUGAAAGCGGAGGACCGCAAGGCUUCGCACUAUUGGAGUGGCCGAUGUCGGAUUAGCUAGUUGGCGGGGUAAAAGCCCACCAAGGCUACGAUCCGUAGCUGGUCUGAGAGGACGAUCAGCCACACUGGAACUGAGACACGGUCCAGACUCCUACGGGAGGCAGCAGUGGGGAAUUUUGGACAAUGGGCGCAAGCCUGAUCCAGCCAUGCCGCGUGAGUGAAGAAGGCCUUCGGGUUGUAAAGCUCUUUCGGUGGGGACGAAGCGGUUCGUGCUAAUACCACGGACUAAUGACGGUACCCGAAGAAGAAGCACCGGCUAACUACGUGCCAGCAGCCGCGGUAAUACGUAGGGUGCAGGCGUUAAUCGGAAUUACUGGGCGUAAAGCGUGCGCAGGCGGUUUGCUAAGACAGGUGUGAAAUCCCCGGGCUUAACCUGGGAACUGCGCUUGUAACUGGCAAGCUAGAGUGUGGCAGAGGGGGGUGGAAUUCCAAGUGUAGCAGUGAAAUGCGUAGAUAUUUGGAGGAACACCGAUGGCGAAGGCAGCCCCCUGGGCUAACACUGACGCUCAUGCACGAAAGCGUGGGGAGCAAACAGGAUUAGAUACCCUAGUAGUCC
rnacentral:rRNA from 1 species